rnacentral:rRNA from 1 species
GCGUUGCGAGCCUGUGAGGGUGAGCGAAUCGCUGAAAGCCGGCCUCAGUUCGGAUUGGGGUCUGCAACUCGACCCCAUGAAGUCGGAGUCGCUAGUAAUCGCAGAUCAGCAACGCUGCGGUGAAUACGUUCCCGGGCCUUGUACACACCGCCCGUCACGUCAUGAAAGUUGGUAACACCCGAAGCCCAUGGCCCAACCAGUUUCUGGGGGGAGUGGUCGAAGGUGGGAUCGGCGAUUGGGACGAAGUCGUAACAAGGUAGCCGUACCGGAAGGUGCGGCUGGAUCACCUCCUUUCUA